CUAAGAAUAUUCCGCAAUGGACGAAAGUCUGACGGAGCGACGCCGCGUGGAUGAYGAAGGCCGAAAGGUUGUAAAGUCCUUUUGUUGGGGAAGAAUAACCAUGGGAGGGAAUGCCCGUGGGAUGACAUGAACCGACGAAUAAGCCCCGGCUAACUACGUG
rnacentral:rRNA from 1 species